rnacentral:tRNA from 1 species
GCAGUGGUGGUUCAGUGGUAGGAUCCUUGCCUUCCGUGUGGAAGGCCCAGGUUCAAUUCCUGGCCAGUGCA